rnacentral:rRNA from 1 species
GACGAACGCUGGCGGCGUGCUUAACACAUGCCAGUCGAACGAUAAAGAAAAGAAUCGAAGCUUCGGCAGAAAUUCAUUUCGGAUUAGUGGCAGACGGGUGAGUAACGCGUGAGCAACCUACCUCUUACAAAGGGAUAGCCUCGGGAAACCGGGAUUAAUACCAUAUAACAUUGUGACGAAGCAUUUCGAUGCAAUCAAAGCUACGGCGGUAAGAGAUGGGCUCGCGUCCCAUUAACCGGAUGGUGAGGUAACGGCUCACCAUAGUGACGAUGGGUAACCGGCCUGAGAGGGUGAACGGUCACACUGGAACUGAGACACGGUCCAGACUCCUACGGGAGGCAGCAGUGGGGAAUAUUGCACAAUGGAGGGAACUCUGAUGCAGCGACGCCGCGUGAGUGAUGAAGGAAUUCGUUUCGUAAAACUCUGUUCUAUGGGAAGAAAAGGACUGUACCAUAGGAGAAAGCUCCGGCUAAAUACGUG